GGCUAAGCAGAGAAAAGUGGAAGAGGAGACACAGCAGCUCAUUCUUUCCCAGUAGCCGUUAGACUGAUUGCGGAGGGGAAGGUCAAAAGAGAAGUUCACAACUAUGAUACCAGCUCUAGAGGCGAAAGAACAACUGAGAGAGAACUAUCCAAGAAGUGUUUGGAUCCCGAAGCACAAAGGUGAGGAAAGAGCAAAAUAUGGCUUUCCCUCAUAAAAGAAAAUACAGCUGACCUCUGAACAACAAAGUGGCGGGCGUGGGGCGGGGGCGGGGGGGGGGCGGUUUACUCGCGCCGACAACCACGCUCACAGGUAGACUUACAAAGGAUGAAAUUGAUCUCUACUACUAAGUGGAUCCAUCUUCAAGAGAGGGCGUUCAGAACACCCGGAAAGAUAAGAAAGGUGAAGGCACCAAACGGCCCUUUGGAGGGCAGACUCCCAUUCUGGGUGGAGGGUCUGAUUCCCACCAAUGAUCUGGAAUCUCUCAAUUAUAUUUGCUUGGGAGAAUAAGGAGUUAAAACAGGUUAGGUCUUGGACUAGGUCUAUAGCAUUUUUACAUGCAGUGUUUUUGUUUCUUAGUCUAAAUUUAUUUAUUGACAGGGUUUCAGUCCUGUUGUCUAGGCUGGAGUGCAGUGGCACAACCACCGCUCACUGCAGCCCCAACUUCCCAGGCACAGGUGAUUCUCCCACCUACCUCAGCCUCCCGAGUAGCUGGGACUGCACCAUGCCCUGCUAAUUUUUUGUAGAAACAGGGUUUUGCCAUGUUACUCAGGCUUGUCUCGAACUCCUGGACUGAAGCAAUCCACCUGCCUUGGCCUCUCAAGUGCUGGGAUUACAGGCAUCAGCCACUGUGCCUGGCUUUGUCUAAAUUUAUAAACCCAUAAAUUGAAUCUCAUUUUUCUCACAAUAACACCAUCCCAAUCUACGUCAUCCUAAUCUACAUUAGUGCUUGGUACUAAGUAUUUGUCUACAACCCCUCCUUUUCCCAUUCCU
rnacentral:lncRNA from 10 species